GACGAACGCUGGCGGCGUGCCUAAUACAUGCAAGUAGAACGCUGAAGAGAGGAGCUUACUCUUCUUGGAUGAGUUGCGAACGGGUGAGUAACGCGUAGGUAACCUGCCUUGUAGCGGGGGAUAACUAUUGGAAACGAUAGCUAAUACCGCAUAACAAUGGAUGACACAUGUCAUUUAUUUGAAAGGGGCAAUUGCUCCACUACCAGAUGGACCUGCGUUGUGUUAGCUAGUAGGUGAGGUAAUGGCUCACCUAGGCGACGAUACAUAGCCGACCUGAGAGGGUGAUCGGCCACACUGGGACUGAGACACGGCCCAGACUCCUACGGGAGGCAGCAGUAGGGAAUCUGCGGCAAUGGGGGCAACCCUGACCGAGCAACGCCGCGUGAGUGAAGAAGGUUUUCGGAUCGUAAAGCUCUGUUGUAAGUCAAGAACGGGUGUGAGAGUGGAAAGUUCACACUGUGACGGUAGCUGACCAGAAAGGGACGGCUAACUACGUG
rnacentral:rRNA from 1 species